rnacentral:rRNA from 1 species
AGUGAACGCUGGCGGUAGGCCUAACACAUGCAAGUCGAACGGCAGCACAGUAAGAGCUUGCUCUUACGGGUGGCGAGUGGCGGACGGGUGAGGAAUACAUCGGAAUCUACUUUUUCGUGGGGGAUAACGUAGGGAAACUUACGCUAAUACCGCAUACGACCUACGGGUGAAAGCAGGGGAUCUUCUGACCUUGCGCGAUUGAAUGAGCCGAUGUCGGAUUAGCUAGUUGGCGGGUUAAAGGCCCACCAAGGCGACGAUCCGUAGCUGGUCUGAGAGGAUGAUCAGCCACACUGGAACUGAGACACGGUCCAGACUCCUACGGGAGGCAGCAGUGGGGAAUAUUGGACAAUGGGCGCAAGCCUGAUCCAGCCAUACCGCGUGGGUGAAGAAGGCCUUCGGGUUGUAAAGCCCUUUUGUUGGGAAAGAAAAGCAGCAGGUUAAUACCCCGCUGUUCUGACGGUACCCAAAGAAUAAGCACCGGCUAACUUCGUG